CGAGUCUGAAUUAAAUAUACUAACACGACUUGUAAGACAUGCAUUUGUGCUGGAUUUGCAAAUGGAAGAAUUUUUAAACUAAGGAUCGAGUUUACUGGGUUUAAUGCCUGGGCCUACUCGCCUGGCCCAGACUUGCUCUAAUGAAUCCUAAACUUGGGUCUGGUUACAAGCGUGGCCCAAUAUAUUACAUGCAACCAUAUAACAUGUUUAUUACAGAAGAAAUCCUACUAUUGAAAGUCUACUGAUAAUCAAGCUUAGUUUGAAACUUAACAGUCCAUUUACAAUAUUGAAAGUCCAAGACUUUAUACAAGAAAGAUUUUAACUUAACGAAUCACCAUCCUAACAGUCCCUCAUAACUAACAUUAAAAGAAUAAAGAAGAACCUCUUAAAAAAGGAAAUUUUUAUCUACCCUUGAAUUCCUGCCAUCAAAUUCUUCAAAUCCACUGUACCUGAUUGCAAGAGAUCAACUACAGAGUUGUUUCUCACAAGCCAAUUGUUUAAACUCCAACCUUGAAGUUUCUUAUUUCCAAGCCAGCUCAUGUUUCUACCAAGAAUCUCAUGGAUCUGACCAUGAACGGGUCAGAUUCACAAAAUACCUUUAGUUACACUAAUCUACUACAUUAUCAGACCAAGACUUAAACAAAUAAUUCAAAAACGGUUGUGAUUCAAGGGUUUAACCAUGUCAAAGGUCAAACUCAUGAACCAACAAAGGUUUCAAACCCCAAGUCAUGACAUGCUCCCUUAGGAAAUACCAAAAUGGACCAAAAGGGAAGGGAGGGGGUGGUUUAAUCCAUGAAUUUUAUCAUGUAUGAGUCAGGCUCAAUAAACCAACCAAGUUUCAAGCAUAUGGAUCUAAACAUACUACCUAGCUAAUACAAGGAAAAACAUAAACGCAUACUAGCUGAAAUAAAUGAAUGAUCAAUGUUAAAAUCAUAUAAAGAACAGAUUCUCACGAUAUAGAACCAAAGAGGCAAAAGACCAUUCAUUUAAGAAGGAUGAUAUUCAACAUGAUUGCAACUUUAAACAAACAAAACAUACAUAUAUGUAAAUCUUGAAAAGCAAAAAAUCAACUGCAUUCAACUUAAGUUCCAUUUAUAAAUACUGAAAUGGAAGAAACAUGUGUACCUUGAAACAACAAUUAAAUAACAACAGCUAAAAUGAAAGAAAAAAAUGCUGGAAGGAUUCAGAAUCAAAGACAAAGCAACAGUAAUCAACAUAGCUUCAGAAACUAAGUGAAUACUAGGGUUUCAAAAUCAAAAUCAACCACUUGAAAACCAAAAAAUCCCAAGUAAAUAACCCUCAAAAACUCUCUAUUUCAAUCUAUUUUUCAGCUUAUGAAUCAAAAGAGUAAAAUUAUUUUUUAAAAUCUUUCUAAGGUUUUCUAAAAUCUAGAAAGUGAACCUUUUUUUUUGCAGAGAAUAAUGUUGAUGAUUGCCAAUGAUUGUGUGUAUGAGUGAAUGCUUUAUUUAUAUACCCAAAGAGCAUCCAAGAGAGGAAUAUUCUAACAUGAUUGCUUAUACUGCAGAAUAGUAAAAUAUUUUUGUAUAGUUGUCCGUCAUUUUCUUAUCCAAUUCCAGCAUUUUAUGCUAAUGAUAGGGACAUCUGUGAUAUUCUUAGAACAUGUUGAUAUUCCUUCAAUGUAGAAGUCCAAUUUUACCCUUUUACUUACUAACUAUUUCAAUUAUAAACAAAUUUUAUCCUAUUCUAGCAUUAUUUCAAGA
rnacentral:lncRNA from 1 species